rnacentral:rRNA from 1 species
AGAUUGAACGCUGGCGGAAUGCUUUACACAUGCAAGUCGAGCGGCAGCGCGGGGGCAACCCUGGCGGCGAGCGGCGAACGGGUGAGUAAUACAUCGGAACAUGUCCGGUUGUGGGGGAUAACCUGGCGAAAGCCAGGCUAAUACCGCAUGAGCUCGAGAGAGGAAAGCGGGGGACCGUAAGGCCUCGCGCGACCGGGUUGGCCGAUGUCCGAUUAGCUAGUUGGUGGGGUAAAGCCUACCAAGCGAUGAUCGGUGGCUGGUCUGAGAGGAUGAUCAGCCACACUGGGACUGAGACACGGCCCAGACUCCUACGGGAGGCAGCAGUGGGGAAUUUGGACAAUGGGGGCAACCCUGAUCCAGCCAUUCCGCGUGAGUGAAGAAGGCCUGGGUGUAAAGCGUCUUUGUCCGAGCGAAACGUAUGGCAAUACCACUGACACUGACGGUAACCGAAGGAAAUAAAGACAACCGGACUAAACGUACCGUAGCCAAGCGAGCCGC